rnacentral:lncRNA from 1 species
ACACAAGAAAAGUCCUACCGCUGCUUCCACUGUGGAAAGAGUUUUACUAAGUUAGGGGGCCUGAAUAGGCAUGAGAGGACACAUACAAGAGGGGAGAAGACCUACCACUGCUCUCAGUGUGGAAAGACAUUUUCCCAGUCAGAGGACCUGAAAUCACAUGCGAGAAUAUAGACGCUGUGUUCUGACUUAUGUUAUUGACCUGAGAAUUUAGGUUUUUGUUUUUGCCAAAUUAAAUCAUAUUGUUUAUAUGAAAUCAUUAACAAAAUAGACCUACUUUUGUUUUGUUUUUUUUUCCAUCUGGAAACCUGAUCAUGUCUAAAAUCAGACUAAAUAUUUAAAAAUGUGUAUUUUGUUUUCAUUAUUAGCUUCGAUUGAUUUUAUACAAGUAUAAACCCUCUGUUGUUCACUAUAUGAUUUGGAUAUUAUUAAAGUGAAGUUAAUAUAUAAGUAACAGGAGCCUUGGCUUGUCUGAUCCAGCUCAUAGUAACAGGAGCCUUGGCUUGUCUGAUCCAGAACGGCUCAUAGUAACAGGAACCUUGGCUUGUCUGAUCCAGCUCAUAGUAACAGGAGCCUUGGCUUGUCUGAUCCAGCUCAUAGUAACAGCAGCCUUGGCUUGUCUGAUCCAGCUCAUAUGUAACAGGAACCUUGGCUUGUCUGACCAGAAGCUCAUA